rnacentral:rRNA from 1 species
GGCUGGGGCGGCACAUCUGUUAAACAAUAACGCAGGUGUCCCAAGGUGAGCUCAAAGAGAACGGAAAUCUCUUGUAGACCAAAAGGGGAAAAGCUUACUCGAUUUUGAUUUUCAGUACCAAUACAAACCGUGAAAGCGUGGCCUAACGAUCCUUUAGCCUUUCAGGACUUGAAGCUAGAGGUGUCAGAAAAGUUAGCACAGGGAUAACUGGCUUGU